GUCUACGGUCAUACCACCCUGAACAUGUCUGAUCUCGUCUGAUCUUGGAAGCUAAGCAGGGUCGGGCCUGGCUAGUACUUGGAUGGGAGACCGCUCUGGGUGCUGUAGGCU
rnacentral:rRNA from 1 species